AGAUUGAACGCUAGCGGGAUGCUUUACACAUGCAAGUCGAACGGCAGCGCGGACUUCGGUCUGGCGGCGAGUGGCGAACGGGUGAGUAAUAUAUCGGAACGUGCCCAGUAGCGGGGGAUAACUACGCGAAAGCGUGGCUAAUACCGCAUACGCCCUACGGGGGAAAGGGGGGAUUCUUCGGAACCUCUCACUAUUGGAGCGGCCGAUAUCAGAUUAGCUAGUUGGUGAGGUAAAGGCUCACCAAGGCGACGAUCUGUAGCUGGUUUGAGAGGACGACCAGCCACACGUGGGACUGAGACACGGCCCAGACCUCCGUACGGGAGGCAGCA
rnacentral:rRNA from 1 species